AAAUACAUACUCUAGUCCUGGCUCUGUGUCCCAGGCAAAAGCAAAACGUGUUCAAGAAUAGUAUCCCCAUUCAUUACAUUAAAAACAAGUGUUUUUACACACGUGAAACUUGUCACAAAUAGAUACCAGGAAAUGCAGUGAGAGAUAUACAGGGAGAGAGGGAGGGAGGAAGGGAGACAUUGUCAUAGGCACAGUGACGAGGAGGCCCGGUACAGGCGGAACUCAGCUGUCACCUAAGGAAUAUGGGGAAAGUGGGGACAUUCUUGGAAGAUAACAACGGUGCAGGACACUAAUUGGAUAAAGGAAGCUGUUCAUAAAACUGCUUGCUUAGGGGAAAAAUAAGGGUGCCGUUUUAGUUCAGAACUGCAAAUUCCUGAGCGGUACUAGGGAAGCUGGCUAAGGAUGGAGUGUGGGGCCUAAGGAGUUUGGCGGCAGGGCAGCGAGCUACAAAGCAGGGAGCCCUGCCAGGAGUUCCCUCUCACAGGUUCUGUUCCCCUUGCCAGACGCCAGGGACCACGUGGCUCUACCGGUUACAAGAAGCCCGGUGCCCAGGGCGCCAGCGGAAAGCGCUCCCUCGCCCCGACCACCCCUGUCCUCGGUCCCCAAAAGCGCAGCGGCGGCGUCAAUCACCCGCCCCACGACGGCGGAGAUGUCACAGCCCAAGCAGGCUCUCACCAGAAGAACAGGCGCGAGCAGAAGUUCGCGUCCUGCAGCGGGUUGGGCUUCCGCAUCUUGCCGGCGGGGGCGGCCACGGGCCGGGGUCGCGCUGCUCUGGUGAUGGAGCUGCUCCUGGAAGCGCCGGCGGGGAGACUGGAGGCUCAGACACAACGCGGUCGGUCCUCUCUUAGGGAGACAGAAGCACCUGCUUCAGGAAGUGGAGCGGCAGGGCGGGGGUCGGUGCCGCCUGCUCCGCGGCUCUGCCUCUGGGGCCUGGAGUCGGGAGCGGUGGGGGCAGCAGGACCAAGGGGCGGCCAGGCGGACUCUGCCGGGGGCCACGCAGGUGUGAGGCGAGGCUGCAGGCGCAUUUGAUGGAGCCAGUUAAGGAAACUGCGGCACCCAAGGCACCGGACAGAGGGGCCUACGUUUGGGCACCCGGCUGCAAAUUCUACCAAAGGGCGCGCUCUGAGCCCGGGCCCCGACCCAGAAGACGGAGAAGGAGGGGCGGGCUGCAUCAGAAAUGCUCCUUCAGCUGUGAUGAAGACCCAGAGAAAGCUGGCACAAGGAGAUAGCAGCCCUUGCUCUGGGCACUCUGCCCUCAUCAAGACCAAAUAAGGGUGCUACAGGAGGGUGUCCAGCUGUAAUGGAGCAAGGACCUUGUGGGAUCUUCCUAGGCUAGACCCCACCCCAUGCCCUCUACCUGCCUCUUGUUUGUGCAUGCAGUGCUCACUCAGUCCUGUCCAACUGUUUGCGACCCCAUGGACUGUAGCCCACCAGACUCCUCUGUCCAUGGGAUUAUCUAGGCGAGAA